rnacentral:lncRNA from 1 species
GCACGCACGUCGGCUUCUACAUGGGCCUUCUUAGUUUUUUUAAAAAUUUUGGGACUUUUGCUGCAAAUUUUGGGUUCAUUUUUUAGGGUUUUAACAGAUAAAAAAUUGGGCUUUUGGGAAUCCAUCCAUUCCGCAAAUUCAAACCCUUAAAAAAAGGCAAGGCAAGAAGAAGAAAAUCAAGCAAAGUGGAUGAAAAUUUGAGGAAAAUCAAGACCAAGCUUGUGCAGUCUUUAAGAACCCAACUAAGGAGCGGGUUAUAUAUUUUCUUAUAUUUCUUCUUGAAUUUGUGUAAUGCAAUUGAUUUUGUGUAAUGCUUUCUUCCAAAUUUUGUAAAUUUUUGUACCACUUUUGUAUAAUGGAUUAAAUCUUUUGAUGUUGGGAUGAAUAAGGAAGCUUGGCCCCCAUGGCACA